rnacentral:rRNA from 1 species
AUAUAAUUAGGCGGAGGAAAAGAAAUUAACUAAGAUUUCCUUAGUAACGGCGAGUGAAAAGGAAUUAGUUCAGCGCUGAAUCCCUUAGCCGAAGGUUAAGGGAACUGUAGCGUGAAAGAGAGCCUAUUCGAACUGGAUUGCGCUUCGGAAGCUCCCUCGAACGGGACCCCAAAGCAGGUGCGAGGCCUGUAACGAGGUUACGCCAGUCGAUUAGAGCCUCUUUAGAGUCGGGUUGCUUGAGAGUGCAGCCCUAAGCGGGAGGUAAACCCCUCCUAAGACUAAAUACGACCACGAGACCGAUAGCGCACAAGUA